AGCAGCCGCGGUAAUUCCAGCUCCAAUAGCGUAUAUUAAAGUUGUUGCAGUUAAAAAGCUCGUAGUUGAAUUUUAGGCCUGGCCGGGCGGUCCGUCUUUGGCGAGUACUGUCCUGUGUCGGGUCUUCCUUCUGGUGAACCAGUAUGUCCUUUAUUGGGUGUGCCGGGGAGCCAGGACCAUUACCUUGAAAAAUUAGAGUGUUUAAAGCGGGCUUUUGCCUGAAUAGAUUAGCAUGGAAUAAUAGAAUAGGACGUUGUGGUUCUAUUUUGUUGGUUUCUAGGACCACCGUAAUGAUUAAUAGGGACAGUUGGGGGCAUUAGUAUUCAAUUGUCAGAGGUGAAAUUCUUGGAUUUAUUGAAGACUAACUAUUGCGAAAGCAUUUGCCAAGGAUGUUUUCAUUAAUCAAGAACGAAAGUUAGGGGAUCGAAGACGAUCAGAUACCGUCGUAGUCUUAACCAUAAACUAUGCCGACUAGGAAUCGGGCGACGUUAUUUCAUUGACUCGCUCGGCGCCUUAUGGG
rnacentral:rRNA from 1 species